UACGAAGGGGGCUAGCGUUGCUCGGAAUCACUGGGCGUAAAGGGCUCGUAGGCGGCCAACUAAGUCGGAUGUGAAAUCCCCAAGCUUAACUUGGGAACUGCAUCCGAUACUGGAUGGCUUGAAUCCGGGAGAGGGAUGCAGAAUUCCAGGUGUAGCGGUGAAAUGCGUAGAUAUCAGGAAGAACACCGGUGGCGAAAGCGCUCUGCUGGACCUUAACUGACACUGAGGGACGAAAGCUAGGGGAGCGAAUGGG
rnacentral:rRNA from 1 species